rnacentral:rRNA from 1 species
UACGUAGGUGGCAAGCGUUGUCCGGAAUUAUUGGGCGUAAAGCGCGCGCAGGCGGUCCCUUAAGUCUGAUGUGAAAGCCCACGGCUCAACCUGUGGAGGGUCAUUGGAAAACUGGGGGACUUGAGUACAGAAGAGGUAAAGCGGAAUUCCACGUGUAGCAGUGAAAUGCGUAGAGAUCGGCAGGAACACCCAGGGGGAAACCAGCGGACUGGGCAUUGGCUGACGCUCAAGUGCGACAGCGUGGGGAGCGAACCGG